rnacentral:rRNA from 1 species
AGGAUGAACGCUGGCGGCGUGCUUAACACAUGCAAGUCGAACGGUGAAGGAGAGCUUGCUCUUUGGAUCAGUGGCGAACGGGUGAGUAACACGUGAGCAAUCUGCCCCUGACUCUGGGAUAAGCGUUGGAAACGACGUCUAAUACCGGAUACGAGCUGCGACCGCAUGGUCAGCAGUUGGAAAGAAUUUCGGUCAGGGAUGAGCUCGCGGCCUAUCAGCUUGUUGGUGGGGUAAUGGCCCACCAAGGCAACGACGGGUAGCCGGCCUGAGAGGGUGACCGGCCACACUGGGACUGAGACACGGCCCAGACUCCUACGGGAGGCAGCAGUGGGGAAUAUUGGACAAUGGGCGAAAGCCUGAUCCAGCAACGCCGCGUGAGGGAUGAAUGCCUUCGGGUUGUAAACCUCUUUCAGCAGGGACGAAGCGCAAGUGACGGUACCUGCAGAAGAAGCACCGGCCAACUACGUGCCAGCAGCCGCGGUAAUACGUAGGGUGCGAGCGUUGUCCGGAAUUAUUGGGCGUAAAGGGCUCGUAGGCGGUCUGUCGCGUCGGGAGUGAAAACUCAGGGCUUAACCCUGAGCCUGCUUCCGAUACGGGCAGACUAGAGGUAUGCAGGGGAGAACGGAAUUCCUGGUGUAGCGGUGAAAUGCGCAGAUAUCAGGAGGAACACCGGUGGCGAAGGCGGUUCUCUGGGAAUUACCUGACGCUGAGGAGCGAAAGUGUGGGGAGCGAACAGGAUUAGAUACCCUGGUAGUCCACACCGUAAACGUUGGGCGCUAGGUGUGGGACACAUUCCACGUGUUCCGUGCCGCAGCUAACGCAUUAAGCGCCCCGCCUGGGGAGUA